UCCGUUGAGCGUGGCGAUUUGUUUACCGGAUUGCGGGCCACGUUAAACAUGCCGCUAAAGAGGUCAGACGAAAGGCUCC
rfam:Ponticoccus sp. SJ5A-1 ZB100000, whole genome shotgun sequence.